AACAGUACAUAUGACAUGAGUCA
rnacentral:miRNA from 1 species